rnacentral:rRNA from 1 species
CCUACGGGAGGCAGCAGUGGGGAAUAGUGCGCAAUGGGCGAAAGCCUGACGCAGCGACGCCGCGUGAGGGAUGAAGGUCUUCGGAUCGUAAACCUCGGUCAGCAGGGAAGAACGGUCACUGUGCUAAUCAGCAGUGAAUUGACGGUACCUGCAAAGGAAGCACCGGCUAACGCCGUGCCAGCAGCCGCGGUAAUACGGAGGGGGCGAGCGUUAAUCGGAAUUACUGGGCGAAAAGCGCUCGUAGGCGGUAUGUCAAGUCAAGGGUGAAAUCCCCGCGCUCAACGUGGGAACUGCCUUUGAACCUUGCAAACUGGAGUGUGUGAGCGGAUAGUGGAAUUC